AUACGUAGGGGGCAAGCGUUAUCCGGAUUUACUGGGUGUAAAGGGAGUGUAGGUGGCCAUGCAAGUCAGAUGUGAAAACCCGGGGCUCAACCCCGUGACUGCAUUUGAAACUGUGGUGCUGGAGUGCAGGAGAGGUAAGUGGAAUUCCUAGUGUAGCGGUGAAAUGCGUAGAUAUUAGGAGGAACACCAGUGGCGAAGGCGGCUUACGGGACUGUAACGGAGGUUGAGGCUCGAAAGCGUGGGGAGAAAACAGGUUAAGAUCCCCGGUUAGUCCACGCCGUAAACGAUGAAUACUAGGUGUUGGGGAGCAAAGCUCUUCGGUGCCGCCGCUAACGCAAUAAGUAUUCCACCUGGGGAGUACGGUCGCAAGAAUGAAACUCAAAUGAAUUGGCGGGG
rnacentral:rRNA from 1 species